AACGAACGCUGGCGGCAUGCCUAACACAUGCAAGUCGAACGAGAUCUUCGGGUCUAGUGGCGCACGGGUGCGUAACGCGUGGGAAUCUGCCCUUUGGUUCGGAAUAACAGUUGGAAACGACUGCUAAUACCGGAUGAUGACGAAAGUCCAAAGAUUUAUCGCCAGAGGAUGAGCCCGCGUAGGAUUAGCUAGUCGGUGUGGUAGGCGCACCAAGGCGACGAUCCUUAGCUGGUCUGAGAGGAUGAUCAGCCACACUGGGACUGAGACACGGCCCAGACUCCUACGGGAGGCAGCAGUGGGGAAUAUUGGACAAUGGGCGAAAGCCUGAUCCAGCAAUGCCGCGUGAGUGAUGAAGGCCUUAGGGUUGUAAAGCUCUUUUACCCGGGAUGAUAAUGACAGUACCGGGAGAAUAAGCUCCGGCUAACUCCGUGCCAGCAGCCGCAGUAA
rnacentral:rRNA from 1 species